GAGAAGAACAGAUUCUUAGGACUUUAUAAUAAUCAAGAUAAAGAUAAGAUAUACAUUCAAUCAAGAUAAGAUAAGAGAUACACUCAUCAAGGUAAAGGUACGAGAUAAACUCAAGGUAAACUCACUUCAGGUAAAGGUAAAGAUAAACUCACCUCAGGUAAAGGUAAAGUCACUUCAGGUAAAGAUAAAGAUAAACUCACUUCAGGUAAAGGUAAAGAUAAACUCACCUCAGGUAAAGGUAAAGUCACUUCAGGUAAAGAUAAAGAUAAACUCACUUCAGGUAAAGGUAAAGAUAAGCUCACC